AUUGAACGCUGGCGGCAGGCCUAACACAUGCAAGUCGAGCGAGCGGCGGACGGGUGAGUAAUGUAUGGGGACUGCCCGAUAGAGGGGGCUAACUACUGGAAACGUUAGCUAAUACAGAAUACUAUAGGAUACCCCAUAUGGGAUUAGCUAGUCGGUGGGGUAACGGCUCACCUAGGCGACGAUCUCUAGCUGGUCUGAGAGGAUGAUCAGCCACACUGGUACUGAGACACGGCCCAGACUCCUACGGAGGAAGCAGUGGGGAAUAUUGCACAAUGGGCGCAAGCCUGAUACAGCCAUGCCGCGUGUAUGAAGAAGGCCUUAGGGUUGUAAAGUACUUUCAGCGGGGAGGCGUUACCCGCAGAAGAAGCACCGGCUAACUCCGUGCCAGCAGCCGCGGUAAUUC
rnacentral:rRNA from 1 species